AUUUUAAGAUUUUUUGUGUACAUAAAUGGUAAAUAAGAAGAGAUCGAAUCAGAAAAUAAAGCGAAUAAAAAGAAUUUUGUUCAAAAAGCCUUGUCUAAAACAAUCUGCCGGCUUCUUUUGUUCACACAGCCCAGAGCGAGGAAUACCACAAUAAAUAUUUCUGAAGAAGUUAAUGUCUCCAAAUGGAUCACAUUCGUUCUAACCCAGCCAAUAUCUGAGAUUACGUCUAUUGACACGAUUCGUACUGAUUGAGGUAUAUGUAAUCCAAUUUAUUCAUUAAAUUGAACAAUAUUAAUUAAAUUAAACUGAAUAAUCAAUUGAAGCCAGAUAAUUAGUUUGCCAAGUAUUCAUAGCUCGACAUCACUCGAUUUGGAGACAAUUGAAUUUGUGUAUUUAAAUUAACCUUUAGAUGACAUUCUGGGAAUGGGCUUCCAAUUUUGGUUAAAGUACGAGUAUUUAUGUAAAUGAAAGGCAUUGUACUAUAACCAAUACUUGAGAAAACUGCACAAUCAAAAUGUAUACACGAGUAAAAAUGAUUCAAACAUCUUAAAUGAAAACUAGUGACGUGCCAGUAGGACUCCUCAAACUGAAGGUUUUGUAAAAGUAAGUUAAAGAAAAACGAAUUAACAAGUUGCUCACCCAUCAGACUUAACGCACAAUGGGCCGACUUGGAGCCUACGUGCGGGAAUAGGGAGCGAGCCACCACCCAUCAGACUUAUGGCCGUACCAACAGUUACUCUAUCUUGACUUUUAUGACUUGUUUUUAUACCCGCAAUAGAAAUACAUCCGUGCAACUGUUCGUUUCAACUAUCUAACUAUGACGGUUCUGAAAGUAUAUUCUAGUGGCAGACGGAUAAGCAUACAACGUCAGCCUUAAUAAUAAUCUUCCGUUUUUACACCACUUUAGGUUAAGGUUAGUCAGAUAGGAAAAGUCGACUCCAGUUCUCAAAGGAGACUUGUAAAAAUGUUGAUAGAUAUUACUUACUAAAUACGUAUUUAUGAUUCCAUUUCCUCCAUUUUAUUGAUUGAACGAAGCUCUAACAAAACAAUUAUUUAUAUGAGUUUCUUUCAUACUCAGUUUCUACUACAAUUUAUAACUCCAUACAAUGAAUUGUAGAGCACCUUUUAUCCUAUGGACAAAAUGAAAAAAAUUAUAUGCCUUGUAUAUUCUACAAAUAAAGUAAGGCAAAGGAUUAAAAUUUUAAUUCCAGGCCCUGCUAUUGAGGAUUUUGUUUAUGAAGAGAAUAAGUUAUUAUUUUCGAAUACAAUACUUUUUUAAUCAGGCAUUACUUUGCCGAGAGUCAUCAGGGAGAAAACAUAGACUGAUUAAAAACAAUCCAUUCUUCGAAUCCAAUCAAUAAUUUCGAGAGAUUUAUUCCCGUGAUCGAUUUCAGGUUUAUUUAGGCCGACAAAAUUGCGCAGUCGUAAUACAUUGCGGAGUCACACAGUUCUGGUGUCAAAAGUGAUAUAUCAUUGCCGGCUAUGUAUGGCACCUCGAACUAAUUCUCACCUCAACUCAAUGUAGCGUUGAUUUCAAAUGGCGCUUUUGCAGUGCGAUUGAUUUAGACGAAAUGUCUGUUAUUUGUCGAAUCUCGCCCCAGGAAUGGAAAAAAUAUUUUUAUUCAUAUGUCUUAAAUCUGGAGUUUUCUUCGUAAACAAAAGCGAGUGAUUACGCGGGUUUCCUUGUUGAGGACAAUUUAUCUGAGCUUUAGGAAUUGACCUAUCUUAAGAUCUAAGUUCAGUAAUUAUGUCGCCUACUUGAGGAAAUCAUAACUUAUCCAUCAAACUACACAUUAACUAUAUUAGUUACAGUAACAACAAAAAGGUAAGCGAGCCACCCAUCUAAAACCUAAGCCCAGGAAGAAAAGCUUAACCUCUUUGAUCGAUCAUUCUGCUCGACGUAUAUAGCUACGAAACGCUUAAAAAUUCUCUACGCAAACAAAUGGCCCAUUGUAAGGAUAUUAAUAUAAACGACCGACAAUAAGUCAUCAUAAAAAAGAAAAUAUAAUUUGUAUCGUAAACGCUUAGAAUAAGGUUCCGUACAAAAAGGGGAUCAUUUAUCUUUUAAUUAAUCUGUAUGAUAAUCUUCCCUUUGUAGGGAAACGAGAAUUUUAAGUAUUCUCAUAGCGUCAGUGGAUUAUAAUUUAUGUUGUCUAAUGGAAGGACCAUUAGGCUACAUCUGCAUAAUACUAGUACAAUGUACCAUACGUUGGAAUUUAUGUUUAAUAGAAUAAGCGCUUUUAUUUAUAGUCACGUAAGGCCUAUAAUUGUGUAACAUUGGCUAGUGCUGGUGAGUGUACGUUAGUGGCAAUUUUAAUUCGAGCUCUGAUCAUAAAGUGAUCGGUUACGUUAACGUCCAUGGUAUAAAAUAAAAUGUCAAUCUACAGUGGCUGAAUACAACAAGGCAUGAAAAUGAAUAAACUUCUCGAAAAAUCUGUCAAGUGCAAGUAUUCUUAUAACAUUUAUGACCGAACUUUGCUUUUGCUUAACAGUUCAUAAGAUACAGCCCGGAGACAGCCAGGCGAACAGAUGGUAACCAGACGGACACACAGCUAA